rnacentral:rRNA from 1 species
AACGAACGCUGGCGGCAUGCCUAACACAUGCAAGUCGAACGAGACCUUCCGGGUCGUAGUGGCGCACGGGUGCGUAACGCGUGGGAAUCUGCCCCUUGGGUUCGGGAUAACAGUUGGAAACGACUGCUAAUACCGGAUGAUGACUUCGGUCCAAAGAUUUAUCGCCCAGGGAUGAGCCCGCGUAGGAUUAGCUUGUUGGUGAGGUAAAGGCUCACCCAAGGCGACGAUCCUUUAGCUGGUCUGAGAGGAUGAUCAGCCACACUGGGGACUGAGACACGGCCCAGACUCCUACGGGAGGCAG